rnacentral:tRNA from 1 species
AGUUAAUUAGUUUAAUAAAAAUAUUAAUUUUGUAAAUUAAAGUUUAAUUUUUAAUAUUAAUUAACUU